rnacentral:rRNA from 1 species
UACGUAGGGGGCGAGCGUUGUCCGGAAUCAUUGGGCGUAAAGCGCGUGUAGGCGGCUCGGUAAGUCCGGUGUGAAACCUUGGGGCUCAACCCCAAGCCUGCACUGGAUACUGUCGAGCUUGAGUCCGGGAGGGGAGAGCGGAAUUCCUAGUGUAGCGGUGAAAUGCGCGGAUAUUAGGAAGAACACCGGUGGCGAAGGCGGCUCUCUGGAACGGUACUGACGCUGAGACGCGAAAGCGUGGGGAGCGAACAGG